rnacentral:rRNA from 1 species
UACGUAGGGUGCAAGCGUUGUCCGGAAUUAUUGGGCGUAAAGAGCUCGUAGGCGGUUUGUCGCGUCUGCUGUGAAAACCCGAGGCUCAACCUCGGGCCUGCAGUGGGUACGGGCAGACUAGAGUGCGGUAGGGGAGAUUGGAAUUCCUGGUGUAGCGGUGGAAUGCGCAGAUAUCAGGAGGAACACCAGUGGCGAAGGCGGUCUCUGGGCCGAAUACUGACUGAGGAGCGAAAGCGUGGGGAGCGAACAGG